GCACCGGUAGUGUCCGGGACACACCGCUUCCUUUCCCGCAGGCUGUAUUAAGCGGAGUCGGGGUUCGAGUCCCCGCUGGUGCG